rnacentral:lncRNA from 1 species
GGGAGGGAUGGGCAGUGGGGGGGCAGCCCCCCGGAGUUAUGUUUCCAUGGAGAUGUGUUUGAUUCUGCCCCACUGCGGGGGGAGGGGGCCACAACCCCUCCUGUACCCCCCAGGUUGAGGGGGGGGUUGAUCCAGGGGGGUUAUAUUCUGUGGUCACUCGCUCCCACCCCAAAUCCUCCUCUCCUGCCCCCCACACCCGCUGAGCUGUGGGGACAGAAGUCUUCCAGAUGUGGGGGAAAUGGGGGGGGAGGGGCUGCUGUUGCAGAUGUGUGUGGGGGUACCCCAGAUGUGGUAGGUCCCUUUGCAGCAGUGUGUGUGGGGGGUCCCUGACAGUCUGCAACCCCUCCACAUCCAAGUGAUGGGUCCCUGGGGAGUCCCUUUGCCUCCCUGAACCCCAGCAUGUCCCUUCCUGCGGGGAGUACCUCCGCCCCCACGUCCUGCUGGGUCAGCAUGUGGGGUGACCGCUGGCUGACGCCAGUGAGUUCAGUGGGGCGGCUGCCAGCUCCCCUUCCCCACUUAGUACUCAGGGCUCACUUUCUCCCAGCCCUUACUCCUACAGUACUCGGCCCUUACUCUGCCUCCAUCCCCUGUUACUCAGUCCUUAGCCUAGCCCUAUUUCUAUGUUACUCAGCCCUUACUCCUACAGUACUCUGCCCCUACUCUGCCCCUACUCAGUCUUAUCUUAAAUGUUACUCAGCCCUAAUGCAAAUGUUACUUGGUCCUUACCCAAACAGUACUCCAUCCUUACAGUCCCAACUUCGUUGUUGUUCAGUCCUUACUCAAAGAGUAAGCUGACCCUACUAAAAUGUUACUACCUCCUUACUGAAACACUACUUGGUCCGUACUGAAACACUACUCCAUUAUUUCUCAAAUCUUACUCAGUCCCUACUCAGUCUUACCCUUAGAUAUUACUUAUUUUUACUCAAAAGUUAUUAAAUCUUUACUCACUCCUGAAUCAAAUGUUACUCGGUCCAUACCCAGCCCUUACUUUGGCUUAGUUGAUUUGUUACUCCUUCCUUACUCAAAUGUUACUUGGUCCCUUUCCAGCACCUACUCAGUCUUACUGAGUAGGUAAGUGGGUGCUCAGUAAGGGUGCUCGGUCCUUAAUCAAACACUACUCAGCCAUUACUUGUUACUCAGGCAAAUCCCUCCUUGUCCCUGCUCUAGUCCAACACUGCUCAGGAUUGG